ACGCUCGACACCUACGGGGGCAGCAGUGAGGAAUAUUGGUCAAUGGACGCAAGUCUGAACCAGCCAUGCCGCGUGCAGGAUGACGGCUCUAUGAGUUGUAAACUGCUUUUGUACGAGGGUAAACGCAGAUACGUGUAUCUGUCUGAAAGUAUCGUACGAAUAAGGAUCGGCUAACUCCGUGCUAGCAGCCGCGGUAAUCUGAGCGGGCUGGCAAGGC
rnacentral:rRNA from 1 species